GCGGCUAUAGCUCAGUUGGUUAGAGCGCAAGAUUGUGGCUCUUGAGGUCGUCGGUUCGAGUCCGACUAGCCGCCCCA
rnacentral:tRNA from 1 species